GUCCUGGCGGAAGCUGUCUUUCCAACAUGGCGGGCGAGGCCGAUGGACCGUUCAAAGGGGUGCUUGUGCCGAUUCUUUUACCUGAGAAAUGCUAUGAUCAGCUCUUCGUACAAUGGGACUUGCUUCAUGUUCCCUGCCUCAAGAUUCUCCUCAGCAAAGGCCUUGGGCUGGGCAUUGUGGCCGGGUCACUUCUUGUAAAGCUGCCCCAGAUAUUUAAACUCUUGCGAGCUAAGAGUGCAGAAGGACUGAGUCUCCAGUCAGUGAUGCUGGAGCUGGUGGCACUGACUGGAACUGUGGUCUACAGCAUCACCAACAAUUUCCCCUUCAGGCCUGCCUUUUCCCUCCCAACUCUUGACUCUGCAGCUCUUGGGGUGAAGCGCUGUUCCUGACACUCCAGACAGUUACCAUCUGCUUCCUGGUCAUGCACUACAGAGGAGAGAGCGUGAAAGGAGUUGCUUUCCUUGCCUGCUACGCCAUGGUCCUGCUGGUCCUGCUCUCCCCACUCGUGCCUCUGGUUGUAGUCACCCUGCUCCAGGCCUCCAAUGUUCCUGCAGUGGUGGUGGGGAAGUUGCUCCAGGCAGCCACUAACUACGGCAACGGGCACACAGGCCAGCUUUCAGCUGUUACAGUCUUUAUGCUCUUUGGGGGUUCACUGGCCCGAAUCUUCACUUCUGUUCAGGAAACUGGAGACCCCCUCAUGGCUGGAGUCUUUGUGGUCUCUUCUCUCUGCAAUGGCCUCAUUGCUGCCCAGGUCCUCUUCUACUGGAAUGCAAAGGCUCCCCACAAACAGAAAAAGGAGCAAUAGAGCUGAGCUAGCUUCUAGAAUCCUUCCAUUUCCACUCAUCUACUGGUGCAAGUUAAUCUUCCUCCAUUCCUAACUACAGCCUCCUGAGCCAGGGCUGUGGGAAUAGCAAAGCUUGUACGAGUCCUGCAUUCACUCACUCCACAGUGGGCUGGGAUCCCUCCUCUUAAGCAGCUCUCUUCCUACCGGAGGUGAUUUUGCCCUGUCCACUUAUUUGGACCAAGGACAAAGCCUGGACAUAUGUGGUUGGAAGUUAGUGGCUGCUUCCCUCUGCUGCUCUAGUGGGAUGAUUUAUUGGACCCCAGUUCUGUAGGUGGGGGAGGGGGAGAGUGACUCAGAUAAGGGCCUCAGGGUUGGGUGGGGAGGUUCCUGCUGUGGCAGGUCCUGGCGGAAGGGUGUGUAGAGAAGGCACUGGUUGCUGCGGUAGGGAGAAAAUACUGAGACAAUAAAAGACUCAGAAACACUG